rnacentral:lncRNA from 1 species
ACACAAUCAAUUACCUCCUGAAUGUAUCGUCUCUAUUUCUAAUAUUUGAACAUACAAGGAAACUAUAAUCUCCUCCUUCACCUUACCGGUCUCUUCCUUACAGCAAUUCAGUCAUACCAAUAACUGCUAUUUCCACCAAUAUAUUCACCCUCAUAAUCUCCAACUGUAAUACUGCGCCCUCACAACUUUCAACACACAAUUAUCCUCGUUCCAAUCACUGGAAUUCUUCACACAAAACUGCCAUUCAUAUUAUGGUAUUUUACACAAACACAGACUCAUUUUCUCUGCUGAAUUACAAUCAGAUUUCAGCAUUCAAUCUUUCUUCUUCACAAAUAGUACCAAUUACAUUUCCAUUCCAUAAUUCACUUCACAAUAUUCAGAAACUCUCAAUCCUCUUAUUCAAAGAAAAUAACAAACAAAAGAAAAGAGGUAGCACCAAGCUUAUCCCAACUCACACUAUCACAACGAUGGCCCUUAAUUAACUUCUACAACUCUUAUAUACUUUCCCUUGAUUCUCCAGAUUCUAACCGUAAUUCUGUAAUUAACUGCUUUUAAUAAAUAAAUCACUCAUCCGUCCUCCUAAAUUUCCUAUUAUAUGGACUAUCAAUAUCUUUUACCAAUAUCUUUCAAAAACGAAUUAAUAUCUAUUCUACACGUAUCAUCUUCAUCAUUAUAUUGUGCUUACGACAACAUAUCUACAACUACAUUGUUUUUUUUUAAAAAAUUCUUGAAUUUAGAAUUCAUAGACUUUAUACAUGCAAUCUACCUUAAUAUUGUAAUUUUUGGUGUUGAACAAUUUGUAAUUAUAUCCAAUAAAGGUAGACAAUCUCUUUCUAUAACUACUGAUGUAUCAAUUAAAUAAUUUCUUUCAUUUUUCAUAGCUAUUACUACACCCCAUUAUUCUCUUUUGAUUUGGGCAUAUGUCCUUUGCUUAGCAUUUAA